AAUCUUUCCCGCCCUAAGCUCAUCCCCUGCUGCUUGUCAUCCCUUGCCCUGCCUUGCCACUUGCCGACCCUUGCUGACCCGUGCUCCUCGCUGACAGCCUCUUUACCAAAUUUUCGUUCUCAUAACUCUCUUCUUUCUAAGAUCAAUAGCUGUUUUGGUCUUCUUGCGUUAACUUUUAGCUCUGUAAUCAAACGUUAUUAUGUUAAGUAGGUUGUUGCUUUGUUAUCUGUGGAAGAGGUAGACUGGGAGCUCCUUCACGGCAGUGUCAAGUUUGCAACCAAGCUCAAUCCAAUUGUUCUCUGGCAUGUUUCAAGAGACACAAAGGAACAAAUUUGCUUCUCUGCUUGAUGCAGAAACCCCCAGCACGAAGCCAAAAUCCA